rnacentral:miRNA from 1 species
CCCCAGAUGUUGCUGAACUACAACUCCCAUGAUUCCGUGGCUAUCUGUUUCAUUGAAAGAAUCAUGGGAGUUGUAGUUCAGCAACAUCUGGGG